CCCUUAGAUGUUCUGGGCCGCACGCGCGCUACACUGACUACUUCAACGAGUUGUUUCCUUGAUCGAAAGGUCUGGGUAAUCUUUGAAAGGUAGUCGUGAUGGGGAUAGAUCCUUGCAAUUUUUGAUCUUCAACGAGGAAUUCCUAGUAAACGCAAGUCAUCAGCUUGCAUUGAUUACGUCCCUGCCCUUUGUACACACCGCCCGUCGCACCUACCGAUUGAAUGGUCCGGUGAAUCUUUAGGACUGUGGCUGAGGCCUUGCCUUGUGCGGGUCUGGCCGUGGGAAUGUAGUUAAACCUUACCAUUUAGAGGAAGGUGAAGUCGUAACA
rnacentral:rRNA from 1 species